CUCUAUGGUGGGCUGGACGGAGGCGCCGUUAGGUGCGCCGGUACCCGAUGAGGCCGGUAAUGCCAACUCUGUCCAGUUCCGCCACCUAU
rfam:Leminorella grimontii ATCC 33999 = DSM 5078 strain ATCC 33999 GLGR.assembly.25, whole genome shotgun sequence.